CAGUCGCCGCGGGAAUACGGAGGGAGCUAGCGUUGUUCGGAAUUACUGGGCGUAAAGCGCACGUAGGCGGCUUUGUAAGUUAGAGGUGAAAACCUGGGGCUCAACUCCAGAAUUGCCUUUAAGACUGCAUCGCUUGAACACGGGAGAGGUGAGUGGAAUUCCGAGUGUAGAGGUGAAAUUCGUAGGUAUUCGGAAGAACACCAGUGGCGAAGGCGGCUCACUGGACCGUUGUUGACGCUGUGGUGCGAAAGCGUGGGGAGCAAACAGGAUUAGAUACCCCCGUAGUCCCUGUCUCUUAUUC
rnacentral:rRNA from 1 species